AUCCGAUUGCCCACCUGAGACCAUUUCUUCUCUUUAGUGACAACCUCAAAUCCCCCCUCACUGGAAACCACCUGGAGUGAAAAAGGAAAGAAGAACCACCUGUCCCUGCACGCCCACCUUGCUCAGUGCAUACACACCCAACAGCUUGCCAUCCACUACUGGAAUUCUGAGCGCGGAACCUUGCAGCUCCCAAAAUUUUCCCAGCUGAUCCAAGAAAUCGAGUUUGACACGGGUCAUUGCCUGGAUGAAAGAAAAUUCCGACAGUCAGGGUGCAAGCCUGCAGAUAACAUACUAUACUAAAGCAAAGAGUAAUGAACUUAUAGCCUUACGACUGCUGUGAACUACAACUCCCAAGCAUUCUUUAUAGGUGGAAAGCUGCUGUAAAUUGUCUACCCUAAUUCUAACAUCAAACCUGAACACUUAUUUCUAUAUUUAAGUUCUACAAUACAAUCAGUAUUACGGCCAAACAUAUACAUAGCCACUUGCAGUUGUCCAGCGAUGUAAAGUUACCAACAAUAUGGUCUAUAACACACUGGACUUUUUAACUUCCUUUUCUCUUUUUGGAAUUGUAGUUAAAAUUCACAGUGUUUUCAAUAAAGUCUAAGGGUUACAACCUUAAGGGUGAAGAACACACAGAGCUACUAGUAGCAGCUACUUUUUCAUGGCUACUAAAUGCCAGAAAAUCCCCUGCCAUAGACAAUACUGAGAAUUGCCUCUGCUAAACCACACGUAGAGACAAUUAUCAGUAAAUGAUCAGCAUUGUCUAUUUUAGUAGCCACGACAAGUAGCUGCUACUAGUAGCUCUGUGUGUCUUCACCCUUAAUCUUGCAGAAAAUGAAGAAUAUUCUAGUCUCCUGGGCAUCAAGGGGGAAAAGUGUGUAUUGGACUAUAGCUUAAUCCUUUCCUGUUGCAGCCUAGUGGCUUUUAAUAAGGUGGCCUACUCACCUCCCAGGGGACAUACACAUAAUUGCUGGAGAGGGAACAUAGCAUGGGAGGAGGCGCUGCAUCACUGUGCAACAUAAGCAAGCGGAACUGGCACAACAGGUGUGCAAUUGGCUCCAUACACUCCCUUCAUGGCAGGUAAUUAAGAGGAAUAAACAAAACAUGCAAAUGCACAGGAUAUCUCCAGCCUAUAUCAUAACAAGGGAAACGUCAUGUACCUAAUCUGUACUGCUGUGUCUUUUUGUCCUUGCCACAUAUCCAAGCUGACACAUUAGUUUAUGGAUGGGAUACCCAACAGGUGGCCCUCCUGCUAUACUUCUUCCCUAUUCCCCUGCUGAAUCGGAAGCCAUGCUAGAACUGCUUUUGUUUAAGCUGCCAGGGAGUUAUGAUGUUAUGCAGUGUGAUUCCAGUCUCUAUAAAUGACUUCUGCCCACAUCCGCAUUUUAACAAUGCAAGAUCAUAAAGUCAAUUAA